AGUGAACGCUGGCGGUAGGCCUAACACAUGCAAGUCGAACGGCAGCACAGUAAGAGCUUGCUCUUACGGGUGGCGAGUGGCGGACGGGUGAGGAAUACAUCGGAAGCUACUUUUUCGUGGGGGAUAACGUAGGGAGACUUACGCUAAUACCUCAUACGACCUACGGGUGAAAGCAGGGGAUCUUCGUACCUUGCGCGAUUGAAUGAGCCGAUGUCGGAUUAGCUAGUUGGCGGGGUAAAGGCCAACCAAGGCGACGAUCCGUAGCUGGUCUGAGAGGAUGAUCAGCCACACUGGAACUGGGACACGGUCCAGACUCCUACGGGAGGCAGCAGUGGGGAAUAUUGGACAAUGGGCGAAAGCCUGAUCCAGCCAUACCGCGUGGGUGAAGAAGGCCUUCGGGUUGUAAAGCCCUUUUGUUGGGAAAGAAAAGCAGCAGGUUAAUACCCCGCUGUUCUGACGGUACCCAAAGAAUAAGCACCGGCUAACUUCGUG
rnacentral:rRNA from 1 species